rnacentral:rRNA from 1 species
GGGGUAACAUUGUGCUUGCACAGAUGACGACCGGCGCACGGGUGCGUAACGCGUAUAGAACCUACCUUUUACAGAGGAAUAGCCUUUAGAAAUGAAGAUUAAUGCCUCAUGGUAUUGUAGACUGGCAUCAGUUUAUAAUUAAAGAUUUAUCGGUAAAAGAUGGCUAUGCGUCCUAUUAGUUAGUUGGUAAGGUAACGGCUUACCAAGACAGCGAUAGGUAGGGGUCCUGAGAGGGAGAUCCCCCACACUGGUACUGAGACACGGACCAGACUCCUACGGGAGGCAGCAGUGAGGAAUAUUGGACAAUGGAGGAGACUCUGAUCCAGCCAUGCCGCGUGUAGGAAGAAUGCCCUAUGGGUUGUAAACUACUUUUAUACAGGAAGAAACACUGGUAUGUAUACCAGCUUGACGGUACUGUAAGAAUAAGGACCGGCUAACUCCG